CCUACGGGAGGCAGCAGUGAGGAAUAUUGGGCAAUGGACGCAAGCCUGAACCAGCGAUGCCGCGUGCCGGAUGACGGCCCUAUGAGUUGAAACCUGCUUUUGUACGAGGGUAAAUCCCGAUUCGUAGAUAGGGUUGAAAGUACGGUACGAAUAAGGAUAGGCUAACUCCGUGCCAGCAGCGGCGGUAAUACGGAGGAUUCUAGCGUUAACCUGAUUUAAUGUGUUUAAAGGGUGCGUAGGCGGUUCGUUAAGUUAGGGGGGAAAUUCCGGGGCUCAACUCCGGCACUGCCUCUGCUACUGUCGGGCUGGAGUGUAGUUGCGGUAGGCGGAAUGUAUGGUGUAGCGGGGAAAUGCAUAGAGAUCAGACAGAACACCGAUGGCGAAGGCAGCUUACCAAACUACGACUGACGUUGAGGCACGAAAGCGUGGGGAGCAAACAGGAUUAGAUACCCCUGUAGUC
rnacentral:rRNA from 1 species